UACGGGGGGUGCGAGCGUUGUCCGGAAUCACUGGGCGUAAAGGGCGCGUAGGUGGUCUUAUAAGGGUGUGGUGAAAGCCCGGGGCUCAACCCCGGGUCGGCCGUGCGGACUGGGAGGCUCGAGCACUGUAGGGGCGGGUGGAAUUCCGGGUGUAGCGGUGGAAUGCGUAGAGAUCCGGAAGAACACCGGUGGCGAAGGCGGUUCUCUGGGACGGUACUGACGCUGAGACGCGAAAGCGUGGGGAGCGAACAGG
rnacentral:rRNA from 1 species